UCACACAGAGAAGCUUAUUGGUAAGAGAAAUCAGCAUGGAGCAACCUGAGAAUUGUAAAGGAAAAACAUAUAUAUGGCUGGUGGUAGGUUUUUUAACAAUAAUAUCAAUACUAUCAGUCUUGCUGGGGGUCUACUGCUUACGGGCCAACUCAGAAGGCUGUGUAAAGGGCUUGGAGCUCCAGUACCAGUAUCGGAACGAGACCCGACUACUACAGGAGCAGCUGAGACAAAGCCAGGAAACCUCCCUGGAGACAGAGGCCCGGUGGAAGAGUUGCAGCAGUGACUUGAAAAACCUGAGUGAGACUCUGAAGGAAGUGACAUCCCAGAGAAACUACCUGAAGGGAGCCCCUGGACUUCACCAAACUGUUGGCUAGAAGGAGUACAUACAGAAGCCAGAAGAGUUAAGUCACUUGCCCAAAGUCACCUGGG